UACAUGCGUGUACGAUGGCUAGGCGGCGACGCAGUAGGAUUCUUAUGCUCCAAGACAAGAUGGGAAUUAGAUCUUAGACGAAAGUCAUAUCAGCCAUAUGGCUAUUGCAUUCUUUCAGAACCUAUAUUGCGAGGGGGCGUCUAAUAUGCCUGUUUUCACAAUUCAGGGUAGGUUCCCUGCUCUCAGUUCUGACACUGUCGUUGUCCUAAGUAGGCCAGUCACCAGGGAGGAGAUCCGGGUGGCUCUUUUUGACAUAAAACCCCUCAAAGCGCCUGGGCUGGGCUAGACG
rnacentral:lncRNA from 1 species